rnacentral:rRNA from 1 species
ACGGGAGAGUAAUGCUUAUCUUACCUACCGUUUAGUGGGGGAUAAAAUACCGCAUAUUCUAGUUUCGACUAGGAAAGGGAGUCGUAAGGUUCUCGCUAAAUGAGGGGGAUAAGUCGUAUCAGCUUGUUGGUGAGGUAAUGGCUCACCAAGGCAAUGACGCGUAGCCAGGCUGAGAGGCUGAUUGGCCACAAGGAACUGAGACAAGGUCCUACUCCUACGGGAGGCAGCAAUGGGGAAUCGUCGGCGAUGGGGGCAACCCUGACCGCGCAAUACUACGUGAAGGAGGAAGGUCUACGGAUUGUAAACUUCUAUGGGUAGCAAUACCCUGAAAAAAAAAGCCACGACUAACUACGUGCCAGCAGUCGCGGUAAGACGUAGGUGGCAAACGUUAUCCGGAAUUAUUGGGCGUAAAGGGUGCGUAGAUGGCACAAUAAGUUAUUGGUGGUAAAUCGAGGCUCAACCUCGUGGAAGCUGGUAAUACUGUUAUGCUCGAGUGCAGAAGAGGUUAACGGAACUCCCUGUGGAGCGGUAAAAUGUGAAGAUAUAGGGAAGAACACCAAUAACGGCGAAGGCAGUUAACUAUUCUGUUACUGACAUUGAGGCACGAAAGCGUGGGGAGCAAAACGGAUUAGAUACCCGUGUAGUCCACGCCCUAAACGAUGAGUACUAGAUAUUGGGAACUUGAUUCUCAGUGUCGCUAGGUAACCCGGUAAGUACUCCGCCUGGGUAGUACGCUCGCAAGAGUGAAACUCAAAGGAAUUGACGGGGACUCGCACAAGCAGUGGAGCAUGUGGUUUAAUCCGAUACAACGCGUAGAACCUUACCAAGGCUUGACAUGUUGGGCAAAGCUAGGGAAACCUAGUGGAGGUUAUCCUAACACAGGUGCUGCAUGGCCGUCGUCAGUUCGUGCCGUGAGGUGUAUGGUUAAGUCCUAUAACGAACGCAACCCUUGGGCUUAGUUACCANCAUUCAGUUGGGGACUCUAAGCCGACUGCCUGAGCAACCAGGCAAGAAAGGAUGACGUCUGGUCGUC